UGCCGGUGACAAACCGGAGGAAGGUGGGGAUGACGUCAAAUCAUCAUGCCCCUUAUGACCUGGGCUACACACGUGCUACAAUGGACGGUACAAAGAGCUGCAAGACCGCGAGGUGGAGCUAAUCUCAUAAAACCGUUCUCAGUUCGGAUUGUAGGCUGCAACUCGCCUACAUGAAGCUGGAAUCGCUAGUAAUCGCGGAUCAGCAUGCCGCGGUGAAUACGUUCCCGGGCCUUGUACACACCGCCCGUCACACCACGAGAGUUUGUAACACCCGAAG
rnacentral:rRNA from 1 species